rnacentral:tRNA from 1 species
GCUCAGUCGGUAGAGCGUAAGGCUCUUAACCUUGUGGUCCUGGGUUCAAGUCCUAG